rnacentral:rRNA from 1 species
AGCGAACGCUGGCGGCGUGCCUAACACAUGCAAGUCGAACGUGAAAGGGAGCAAUCCCGAGUAAAGUGGCGUACGGGUGAGUAACACGUAGGUAAUCUACCCCAGAAUCUGGAAUAACCGGCCGAAAGGCUGGCUAAUACUGGAUAGAGCGACGGAAUCCGUAAUUGGGUUUUUCGGGAAAGGGAGCCUGUAAAAAGGCCUUCGUUCUGGGAUGAGCCUGCGUCCCAUCAGCUAGUUGGUGAGGUAAAAGCGUACCAAGGCAAUGACGGGUAGCUGGUAGGAGAGGACGAUCAGCCACACUGGAACUGAAACACGGUCCAGACGCCUACGGGAGGCAGCAGUGGGGAAUCUUGCGCAAUGGACGAAAGUCUGACGCAGCAACGCCGCGUGAGUGAAGAAGGCCUUCGGGUUGUAAAGCUCUGUCGAGUGGGACGAAAAUGCUUGGAGUUCACAGCUCCAGGAACUGACGGUACCACUAAAGGAAGCACCGGCUAACUCCGUG